rnacentral:rRNA from 1 species
UCGCUGUGAAGAUGCAGUGUACCCGCGGCAAGACGGAAAGACCCCGUGAACCUUUACUAUAGCUUGACACUGAACAUUGAGCCUUGAUGUGUAGGAUAGGUGGGAGGCUUUGAAGUGUGGACGCCAGUCUGCAUGGAGCCGACCUUGAAAUACCACCCUUUAAUGUUUGAUGUUCUAACGUUGACCCGUAAUCCGGGUUGCGGACAGUGUCUGGUGGGUAGUUUGACUGGGGCGGUCUCCUCCUAAAGAGUAACGGAGGAGCACGAAGGUUGGCUAAUCCUGGUCGGACAUCAGGAGGUUA